rnacentral:rRNA from 1 species
UACAGAGGGUGCAAGCGUUAAUCGGAAUUACUGGGCGUAAAGCGUGCGCAGGCGGUUCUGAAAGUCAGCUGUGAAAGCCCCGGGCUUAACCUGGGAACUGCGGUUGAAACUACAGGACUAGAAUCUGGCAGAGGGGGGUGGAAUUCCACGUGUAGCAGUGAAAUGCGUAGAGAUGUGGAGGAACACCGAUGGCGAAGGCAGCCCCCUGGGCUGAGAUUGACGCUCAGGCACGAAAGCGUGGGGAGCAAACAGG